UACGGAGGAUGCAAGCGUUAUCCGGAACGAUUGGGCGUAAAGCGUCCGCAGGUGGCUAUGUAAGUCUGCUGUUAAAGAGUGAGGCUCAACCUCAUAAGAGCAGUGGAAACUACAUGGCUAGAGUGCGUUCGGGGCAGAGGGAAUUCCUGGUGUAGCGGUGAAAUGCGUAGAGAUCAGGAAGAACACCGGUGGCGAAGGCGCUCUGCUAGGCCGUAACUGACACUGAGGGACGAAAGCGUGGGGAGCGAACAGG
rnacentral:rRNA from 1 species